CGGGCGGCUCCUGCUACAAAAAAAUAAAAAAUCCGUCGUCGCUUUGCUCUGCCUCCGCGGCUCCGUGUGCCCGACUGCCCGUCCCGUGCCGCCCCACUUGCAGUUGGAGUCGCCACUCGCUUGCUGUGGUCGGGUACUCGGGUCGGCCCACCGCCUCCUACCAGCCUCCGACCACCGCCUCGCCACUUGCCCCGCGUGCGUCCCCCGUCUCCAACUCCAAUGGCGGCGCCCUCCCACCUCCACCUCCCGGGCUGCCCCCAAACCCUAGCCCUGCCCCUGCCCUGGCCACGGGGCUUCUCUGCUCCGCCCGGCCUCCUCUCCCGCUCCCGACGCCUCCGCCCGGUCGCCGCGCUCGGGCCCGCCGACGCCGGCGACUUGCUCGGCCGAGUCGAGGCGUUACUCUACACCGUCGCGGACGCUGCUGUCUCCGCGGAGCCCGUCGCGGCGGCCGGGACCAAGGAGGCCGCCGCCGGUGACUGGCUCUCCAGCAUCACCAAUUCCAUGGAGACCGUGCUCAAGGUGCUGAAAGAUGGUCUAUUGUCUCUCCAUGUUCCUUAUUCAUAUGGCUUUGCAAUCAUUCUCCUCACCGUUCUUGUUAAGGCAGCUACAUUUCCUCUAACAAAGAAGCAGGUUGAGUCUGCACUUGCAAUGAGGUCACUGCAACCUCAAGUGAAGACCAUUCAAGAACGAUAUGCUGGUGAUCAGGAAAGGAUACAGCUCGAAACUGCUCGCUUAUACAAAUUAUCUGGUGUUGACCCACUUGCAGGAUGCUUGCCUACCCUUGUGACAAUACCAGUUUGGAUUGGUCUAUACAGAGCUCUCUCAAAUGUAGCUAAUGAGGGACUUCUGACUGAAGGCUUUUUUUGGAUACCUUCUUUGGCCGGUCCUACAACAAUUGCUGCUCAACAAAAUGGCCAGGGAAUAUCCUGGCUUUUUCCUUUUACUGAUGGUCAUCCACCUCUUGGCUGGUCAGACACUUUGGCAUACCUCGUGUUACCAGUUCUUCUUGUCAUUUCACAAUACAUAUCUUCUCAAGUAAUGCAGCCACCACAGAGCAAUGAUCCUAGCCAACAAGGUGCUCAGGCUGUAACAAAGUUCUUACCAUUGCUAAUUGGUUAUUUUGCUCUUUCCGUGCCUUCUGGACUAGGUUUGUACUGGCUCCAUUGAUACAGUUCCUCCAAAUAAUCAGAAUAUUUAUCAGUAUUGCCUUUAACAAGUCGGAAUAUGGGUUUUUUUUUCCGAGAAGAAGAGAGGUUCAACAUAGACCAGUUACAAGAUGCAAUCCUCUUUACAGAGGGCGGAAACAGAGAUAAUAAAAAGUUCCAUUAAAACAAAUCUAGGCUACAACUAACCUGAAAACAGGGAGCAACAUGACCAGGCAGGAGGCUAUGACUAAGAGCCCUCAACAGGAGCAGUGAGGAAGGCUUACAAAUAAUAUCCUCAGUACUGCGCAACAAGUGUGGCUUCAAAAGCUUGGAGGUGCAAAAAAUCCUGUCAAAGAAUAUAUUGACAAACUUUCAAGAGAAGAAUCCACCAAUGUUCAGAAGAAUGGAUCCACUGUUCAGAGCAAACCUCUGCCCAAACUUAGUAAAGCCCAGCCCAGCCAAGAGCUGAAACCAACUGGACCGCAACGUGGGGAAAGAUUUAGGAAACUAAAGGAGGAAGAAUCAAGGAGAAAAGAGGUUCUGGGGCAAGCAGAACAAUCAGAACAGUCAAGUUUUGAAUCUAGCGUCGUAGAUGGAGCACAAAUUUCUGAUGCGUCUUCUGGAGACAAAAAUGAUGAACAGGUAUUAAACAGGAGCCUCAUGAAAUUGGACCGAUCGUAGCUAAUAGCAACGGUGGAGUUAACCAUAGUAGAAAUGAAAAGACUGAGAAUUUUUCAUCAGAAAAGGAAGCAGCUGACGAUCAUUCCUCGGUAAGCAAACCUAUGUUACCGGAUGCCCACAAAUUAACGGACCAAGACAAUGGAAACGAUGCAGUAUAGAGAGUGGAUGUUAGCGUAGCUAGUCGUUCUGCUGCUUUGAUGCGUUCACUGAAAAUCAGUGGCUCAGACGUGUCUGCUUCAUCACGCUGAGGUAUAGCUGUGAGGCAUAGUGAGCAAUAGUUUCACGAACAUCUAUCAAGAAUCACACGAAGAUGCAGCAGGAGGCAAAUUUGUUUCAAACUAGAAACCACGCUCUAGGUCUAAGCCCUUUUUCUUUUCCCCCACGAAUUUGUGCUGUACUGUAGGUUAUGUGAUGCAUAUAAGAGUAGUAGGUGAAAGGAUUCUGAGAUAUCAAAGGGAUUCUGUCCAUAACGUGUAAUGUUGUUCAGUUGGGGGUGGGAUGGAUGCAAAGGUGGCAAUUCGACAUUUUACUACUUGUCGUGACAAUAAUUUUGGAAUGGAUGAUGAUGCCUGUCUUGAGAAGCA